CCUACGGGAGGCAGCAGUGAGGAAUAUUGGUCAAUGGGCUUACGCCUGAACCAGCCAAGUCGCGUGAGGGAAGACUGCCCUAUGGGUUGUAAACCUCUUUUGCCAGGGAGCAACGCCGGCUACGUGUCGCCGGACUGAGAGUACCCGAAGAAAAAGCAUCGGCUAACUCCGUGCCAGCAGCCGCGGUAAUACGGAGGAUGCGAGCGUUAUCCGGAUUUAUUGGGUUUAAAGGGUGCGUAGGCGGAAUGCCAAGUCAGCGGUAAAAUCGCGGGGCUCAACCCCGCUCCGCCGUUGAAACUGGCGGUCUUGAGUGGGCGAGAAGUAUGCGGAAUGCGUGGUGUAGCGGUGAAAUGCAUAGAUAUCACGCAGAACUCCGAUUGCGAAGGCAGCAUACCGGCGCCCAACUGACGCUGAAGCACGAAAGCGUGGGUAUCGAACAGGAUUAGAUACCCGAGUAGUC
rnacentral:rRNA from 1 species